GUGGGGAAUAUUGCACAAUGGGCGAAAGCCUGAUGCAGCAACGCCGCGUGAGCGAUGAAGGCCUUCGGGUCGUAAAGCUCUGUCCUCAAGGAAGAUAAUGACGGUACUUGAGGAGGAAGCCCCGGCUAACUACGUGCC
rnacentral:rRNA from 1 species